rnacentral:rRNA from 1 species
GAUGAACGCUAGCGGCAGGCUUAAUACAUGCAAGUCGAGGGACAGCACAGGUAGCAAUACUGGGUGGUAACCGGCAAACGGGUGCGGAACACGUACACAACCUUCCUUUAAGUGGGGGAUAGCCCAGAGAAAUUUGGAUUAAUACCCCGUAAUAUAGUUGAAUGGCAUCAUUUGAUUAUUAUAGCUACGGCGCUUAAUGAUGGGUGUGCGGCUGAUUAGAUAGUUGGCGGGGUAACGGCCCACCAAGUCUACGAUCAGUAGCUGAUGUGAGAGCAUGAUCAGCCACACGGGCACUGAGACACGGGCCCGACUCCUACGGGAGGCAGCAGUAAGGAAUAUUGGUCAAUGAACGCAAGUCUGAACCAGCCAUGCCGCGUGAAGGAUUAAGGUCCUCUGGAUUGUAAACUUCUUUUAUUUGGGACGAAAAAGGGCCUUUCUAGGUCAACUGACGGUACCAGAUGAAUAAGCACCGGCUAACUCCGUGCCAGCCGCCGCAGUAAAAC